GGAUGAACGCUGGCGGCGUGCCUAAUACAUGCAAGUCGAGCGAACAGCCGAGGUGCUUGCUCCUCUGACGUUAGCGGCACGGGUGAGUAACACGUGGAUAACCUACCUAUAAGACUGGGAUAACUUCGGGAAACCGGAGCUAAUACCGGAUAAUAUAUUGAACCGCAUGGUUCAAUAGUGAAAGACGGUUUUGCUGUCACUUAUAGAUGGAUCCGCGCCGCAUUAGCUAGUUGGUAAGGUAACGGCUUACCAAGGCGACGAUGCGUAGCCGACCUGAGAGGGUGAUCGGCCACACUGGAACUGAGACACGGUCCAGACUCCUACGGGAGGCAGCAGUAGGGAAUCUUCCGCAAUGGGCGAAAGCCUGACGGAGCAACGCCGCGUGAGUGAUGAAGGUCUUCGGAUCGUAAAACUCUGUUAUUAGGGAAGAACAAAUGUGUAAGUAACUAUGCACGUCUUGACGGUACCUAAUCAGAAAGCAACGGCUAACUACGUG
rnacentral:rRNA from 1 species